GCAAAAACGUCAAGUUCUCUCACUGCUGCUAGAAAUCUUCAUUCGGCGUUCCUUUCUCCAGGACUAGAAGAGAUAGCAAAAGCAUGUUAACCAUUGAAAUCCUGUGUGUGAUCCCUGUUGCAUACAACAAGACAGCUACAUGCUAUGACACCUGAAGAUGUUCAAUGCAGUGAUGGUUCUUAUGACUGCUAGCUGGCCUGUUGAAUUUUGCCAGCAUUUACUUUGUUUCAGAAUUUGGGCAUUUACAUUUUUUUUUUGCUUUUUGUAAAGGCAAUUUCAAAUGUAUAGUUUAAAAAGUAAAAAAAAAUGCUGGUU